ensembl:snRNA U6 U6 spliceosomal RNA
GUGCUCACUUUGGCAGCACAUAUACUAAAAGUGGAACGAUAACAGAAUUUAGCAUGGAUUAUCCCUGCACAAGGAUAACACAAAUUCGUGAAGUGUUCCAUAUUUAA